rnacentral:rRNA from 1 species
AGAGUUUGAUCCUGGCUCAGGAUGAACGCUAGCGACAGGCUUAACACAUGCAAGUCGAGGGGCAGCACAGGUAGCAAUACCGGGUGGCGACCGGCGCACGGGUGAGUAACGCGUAUGCAACUUACCUAUCAGAGGGGGAUAACCCGGCGAAAGUCGGACUAAUACCGCAUGAAGCAGGGGCCCCGCAUGGGGAUAUUUGCUAAAGAUUCAUCGCUGAUAGAUAGGCAUGCGUUCCAUUAGGCAGUUGGCGGGGUAACGGCCCACCAAACCGACGAUGGAUAGGGGUUCUGAGAGGAAGGUCCCCCACAUUGGUACUGAGACACGGACCAAACUCCUACGGGAGGCAGCAGUGAGGAAUAUUGGUCAAUGGCCGAGAGGCUGAACCAGCCAAGUCGCGUGAAGGAAGAAGGAUCUAUGGUUUGUAAACUUCUUUUAUAGGGGAAUAAAGUGGAGGACGUGUCCUUUUUUGUAUGUACCCUAUGAAUAAGCAUCGGCUAACUCCGUGCCAGCAGCCGCGGUAAUACGGAGGAUGCGAGCGUUAUCCGGAUUUAUUGGGUUUAAAGGGUGCGUAGGCGGCACGCCAAGUCAGCGGUGAAAUUUCCGGGCUCAACCCGGACUGUGCCGUUGAAACUGGCGAGCUAGAGUGCACAAGAGGCAGGCGGAAUGCGUGGUGUAGCGGUGAAAUGCAUAGAUAUCACGCAGAACCCCGAUUGCGAAGGCAGCCUGCUAGGGUGCGACAGACGCUGAGGCACGAAAGCGUGGGUAUCGAACAGGAUUAGAUACCCUGGUAGUCCACGCAGUAAACGAUGAAUACUAACUGUUUGCGAUACAAUGUAAGCGGUACAGCGAAAGCGUUAAGUAUUCCACCUGGGGAGUACGCCGGCAACGGUGAAACUCAA